CCGAUCGUAGUUGACCGAAAAUGACACGGUUGAUGUUCUUCGAUGGUCGAUCCGAGGUUCUCAUAAUACUUCUUAUCGCCUUAGAUCAACAAUCAAAGAACACCAACGCUCCUAUCAGAUAUCACUCUAGGUUUUUCAACCCAAAAAAGCAAUACCCAAUAGUUAGUUCGUCCGGACAAGGACUAAUAUCAUAUGGAACUUGUACUUUAAAAACUUUCUUUAUCUAUAUCAUUUAAAAGCAUCUUACAAAAUCUAUACUUACUAUACUAAAAGGUAAAUAAACUCAAUGAUUAAGGCAUCCACAUCAGACUAUAAAAUUAGCUAAUAGGGAGCUUCCAAAUGUCCACUUCAGCAAUAAAUAGAUCUCACUCAAAAAAAUACGUAAUAACGUUUUGUUUCAAUCUAAAUAAAAAAACCUAAAAGCCAAAAUCCAAAAGUCGGAGACGUCGAUUGUGUAACGUCCACCACCAUCAAAGCUAUUAAAAGCUUCAACUCAUCCAUACUCAUCAUCUCUCUCCCGAAUCCAAAUCUCCUCUGGUAGCUGAGAAACAGUCAGAUUUCCAGAUCCAAAGCUUUGAAUAAAUCUAGCACCAAAGCUCCGGCAAUAUCAACCAGCGCAUCUAUGUCUAAGAAUCCAGCGAAAUCACCACUAAAGCUCCAACUGAAUCGACCACCAGUUCCAUGGAUAAGAAAAAAGGGGUUGCUUGGCUCCAUCUACAGCUUCGAAUCCUGCAAAAAGAAAGAUCCUCAUAGGGCAAAGAGGUCCAUAAAGAAAAGCCGUGUGGAUUGUGUCGAUUUCUUCAUCAGAAGUUUCUAUGGAUCCGUGAAAACCCAUUUGAUACAGCCUGGUGAUGUCUGUUUUAGAGUUUUCUGAAACGCAAUGCAUCCAUAUCAGAUGUUGGAGGUUGAGAAGACAAUACAGGAGGCGAAGAAGGCAAGUCUCUAUCUACAAUAUGCUAAUGUUUUCCUUCUCACUAGGAAACUGAGGAUCAUGUUUUGUUUUGUUUUUGGGCAGCCACCAAAGAAGCGAGGACCUUAUUAUAGCGCAGAAGUUGUUUUUAGUAGUCAAGAGGAAGCAAAUCAAGCAUUUGAUAACGUUAAUGGAGAUAUAGUUAAGGUACUUGGGAUCAUCUCUCUCACUGUGGUCAUGUUCAUGAUCUGUUGCUAUCUUUAGAAAAUCUAUAGGAUGUGUAUGCCAUCUCUUUCUUUCAGGAUAAAAUGGGUUUGUCACAAAAAAAAUGGUUGAGUUUAAGAUGAUGAGUUCUGGAUCAGUAUCUAGACUAUACGUUCGUAAAAAUGUUCAAGACAGACAGUGAAGUCUCUGCCAAGAAGAGAAGUAACACAGAGGAGAUCAAAUUGAGUUCUAAGAGACAGAGGAGGGAGAAUGAUGCUGAGGAGACAAGAGAAGACAAUGUAAACCAUGGCAGCAGCCGAGAGAGGUAAAUGUGAAAAUCAUAUAAAGGAAAUUGAAGAACUGAAGGAGAAUCAUAGAAAGAAAAUUGAAGAACUGAAGGAGAAUCAUAUAAAGGAAACUGAAGAACUGAAGGAGAAGCUCAAAGCCAAGGAACGUGAGUUUGAGCGCAUAUGUGAAAAUCAUUUAAAGGAAACUGAAGAACUGAAGGAGAAGCUCAAAGCUAAGGAUCGUGAGGUUGAGGCUCAGGAUAAGAUGAUAAGUAACCUCAAAAAGAAACUGAAGAAAAAGUGAAAGACUAACGUUUGAGAAUAUUAUGGUGUGACUUUUCUAGAGAAGUUUAUCAGAGACCUAUUAUUUUCACAUUGAGCUUAUGUGCUUUUUGUUUAGUCUUUGUGCCAAUUUGUUAUCAGCACUUUUUUCUUUGCUGUAAGGUGACAAAGACGGAUGGAACCAAAACAAUCACGAGAAAGAUUCGUGUCCCUUUUGGAUAUGUAAACACUUUAUAUUUUCAAUUUGGGUAGAAAAAAUAGGAAGAUGUUUGAGGGAACAUAUUAAAAUUG